UACGGAGGUGGCGAGCGUUGUCCGGAUUUACUGGGCGUAAAGGGAGCGUAGGCGGAUUUUUAAGUGAGAUGUGAAAUACUCGGGCUCAACUUGAGUGCUGCAUUUCAAACUGGAAGUCUAGAGUGCAGGAGAGGAGAAUGGAAUUCCUAGUGUAGCGGUGAAAUGCGUAGAGAUUAGGAAGAACACCAGUGGCGAAGGCGAUUCUCUGGACUGUAACUGACGCUGAGGCUCGAAAGCGUGGGUAUCAAACAGG
rnacentral:rRNA from 1 species